ACGAAGGGUGCAAGCGUUAAUCGGAAUUACUGGGCGUAAAGGGUGCGUAGACGGUUUGUUAAGUCGGAUGUGAAAGCCCCGGGCUCAACCUGGGAACUGCAUCCGAAACUGGCAGGCUAGAGUGCGAUAGAGGAUGGUGGAAUUCCCGGUGUAGCGGUGAAAUGCGUAGAGAUCGGGAGGAAGGCCGGUGGCGAAGGCGGCGCUCUGGAACAUUUCUGACGCUGAGGCUCGAAAGCGUGGGGAGCAAACAGGA
rnacentral:rRNA from 1 species